GACGAACGCUGGCGGCGUGCCUAAUACAUGCAAGUCGAGCGAAGUUUUUCUGGUGCUUGCACCGGAAAAACUUAGCGGCGAACGGGUGAGUAACACGUAAAGAGCCUGCCUCAUAGACUGGGACAACUAUUGGAAACGAUAGCUAAUACCGGAUAACAGCAUUAACUGCAUGGUUGAUGUUUAAAAGUUGGUUUUGCUAACACUAUGAGAUGGCUUUGCGGUGCAUUAGCUAGUUGGUGGGGUAAAGGCCUACCAAGGCGACGAUGCAUAGCCGACCUGAGAGGGUGAUCGGCCACACUGGGACUGAGACACGGCCCAGACUCCUACGGGAGGCAGCAGUAGGGAAUCUUCCGCAAUGGGCGAAAGCCUGACGGAGCAACGCCGCGUGAGUGAAGAAGGAUUUCGGUUCGUAAAGCUCUGUUGUUAGGGAAGAAUGAUUGUGUA
rnacentral:rRNA from 1 species